rnacentral:rRNA from 1 species
UCCCUCCCGACUGUUUACCAAAAACACAGCACUCUGCUAACUCGUAAGAGGAUGUAUAGGGUGUGACGCCUGCCCGGUGCUCGAAGGUUAAUUGAUGGGGUUAGCAUUAGCGAAGCUCUUGAUCGAAGCCCGAGUAAACGGCGGCCGUAACUAUAACGGUCCUAAGGUAGCGAAAUUCCUUGUCGGUUAAAUACCGACCUGCAUGAAUGGCGUAACGAGAUGGGAGCUGUCUCAAAGAGGGAUCCAGUGAAAUUGUAGUGGAGGUGAAAAUUCCUCCUACCCGCGGCAAGACGGAGAGACCCCGUGGACCUUUACUACAGCUUGACACUGCUAUUUGGAUAAGAAUGUGCAGGAUAGGUGGGAGGCUUUGAGUAUAUGACGCCAGUUGUAUAUGAGCCAUUGUUGAGAUACCACUCUUUCUUAUUUGGGUAGCUAACCAGCUUGAGUUAUCCUCAAGUGGGACAAUGUCUGGUGGGUAGUUUGACUGGGGCGGUCGCCUCCCAAAUAAUAACGGAGGCUUACAAAGGUUGGCUCAGAACGGUUGGAAAUCGUUCGUAGAGUAUAAAGGUAUAAGCCAGCUUAACUGCAAGACAUACAAGUCAAGCAGAGACGAAAGUCGGUCUUAGUGAUCCGGUGGUUCUGUGUGGAAGGGCCAUCGCUCAAAGGAUAAAAGGUACCCCGGGGAUAACAGGCUGAUCUCCCCCAAGAGCUCACAUCGACGGGGAGGUUUGGCACCUCGAUGUCGGCUCAUCGCAUCCUGGGGCUGGAGCAGGUCCCAAGGGUAUGGCUGUUCGCCAUUUAAAGCGGUACGCGAGCUGGGUUCAGAACGUCGUGAGACAGUUCGGUCCCUAUCUGCCGUGGGCGUAAGAAGAUUGAAGAGAUUUGACCCUAGUACGAGAGGACCGGGUUGAACAAACCACUGGUGUAGCUGUUGUUCUGCCAAGAGCAUCGCAGCGUAGCUAAGUUUGGAAAGGAUAAACGCUGAAAGCAUCUAAGCGUGAAGCCAACUCUAAGAUGAAUCUUCUCUAAGCUCUCUAGAAGACUACUAGUUUGAUAGGCUGGGUGUGUAAUGGAUGAAAGUCCUUUAGCUGACCAGUACUAAUAGAGCGUUUGGCUUAUCUUUAAUAAAGCAU